rnacentral:rRNA from 1 species
CCGCGGUAAUACGUAGGCAGCGAGCGUUGUUCGGAGUUACUGGGCGUAAAGGGUGUGUAGGCGGUUCUUUAAGUUUGGUGUGAAAUCUCCCGGCUCAACUGGGAGGGUGCGCCGAAUACUGAGGGACUCGAGUGCGGGAGAGGAGAGUGGAAUUCCUGGUGUAGCGGUGAAAUGCGUAGAUAUCAAGAGGAACACCGGCGGUGUAGACGGCUCUCUGGACCGUAACUGACGCUGAGACACGAAAGCGUGGGUAGCAAACAGGAUUAGAUACCCUGGUAGUCCACGCCCUAAACGAUGCAUAUUUGGUGUGGGUCAUUCAGUUGAUCCGUGCCGGAGCUAACGCGUUAAAUAUGCCGCCUGGGGAGUACAGUCGCAAGGCUGAAACUCAAAGGAAUUGACGGGGGCCCGCACAAGCGGUGGAGCAUGUGGUUCAAUUCGACGCAGCGCGAAGAACCUUACCUGGGCUCGAACGGCUGGUUACCGGCGGUGGAAACAUCGCUACCCCGCAAGGGGGUCCAGUCGAGGUGCUGCAUGGCUGUCGUCAGCUCGUGUCGUGAGAUGUUGGGUUAAGUCCCGCAACGAGCGCAACCCUUGUCCUGUGUUGCCAUGCCGAAAGGCGGAACUCGCA